rnacentral:lncRNA from 1 species
GAAAUUUUACUGGGUCCUAGCAGUAUUACAAGAUAUUCUUCUUACUGUGACAAAGAGCAGGAACAUCAUCAUGAAUGACUCUGCAUGACAAGAAAUCAAUAGAAGAAACCAAAGAAAGGAUAUAGAGGACCUGAAAUUAAUACUUCCUGUGAAAUCAGACUUACUUAAAGUAUAUCCAUUUAUACACAGGCUAAACCUUCUCCACUCUGAGGACAUGAUCUCAAAGAAACCACUUAUGUGAGAUCCCACUGAGGGAAGCAAGGACAUGCACAACCUUGAAAGAUGUGUAAACCACAAAGAAGGUGGAAGGAACCUCAAGAAAAAGAGAAACGUGUCACCUUCUAAGGAACAAGCUGGGAAUAUUUCAAAAAAACCUUGAACAUUAUACAAAAAG